ACCCGAGGCCGGGCAUGCCAGGAGUCAUCCCGCUGUCGUGCCUGAGCGAGACAUCCCCGCUGGAAUUUGUCAGGGAAUGACAAAGUCAUUGAUGCCGACUGCGACGCGGAGCCGCGUGCGCCGGGCCGGGCGGACGAAACAGGUGCUGAAAUGUGAAACCCUACUGAGGGAUUUCCUCGGCAGGCAGCGCGGUGGGAGCACGGAGAGCCGGAGCGGGAUGUUGCUCCCAGGGUUGCCGGAGCGCCGGGAGAGCUGAGCUGUCGCUUUAAGAAAAAAGAAAUUCGGCUCUGAACUACCCAAAACCCUGCCAUUUCCAGCCUGGGCUUGAUUAAUGAUUUUUCUAUCUAAUAAAAGGUUCACAAACCA